ACAGGUUAUGACCCGGAUAGCAGAUUUUUAAUAAAAACAGCAUGUUUUAAUUAGAAUACACUGCAACUGAGAUUAUAUUGGAUGAGUUGGACAUUAUUUCCUGGAAAAGAGAGCUCUUUGCCUAUAAAAAUGGUGUAAUCGAUGGAAAACCCAUCGUAACUGCUGCAGAGAUUUCAUUGCUAUCUUGAAGGGACCAAAAACUUAUUUAUUCAUUUUUAUUUCAUUUGAUUUUAUUCCUUUUCAGAACCUUCUAACAUCAAUUAUGAGUGGUUCUUGAUUACCUUCAACCCCUAGUUCAGAAUGUAAGAAGACACUAUGAUUGCAAUCAAGGGUCCCCCAGUCAUUUACCCCUGUUAUUGAGCAAGAAUCCGGCUCAGAAGCAGAGGGUGAUCAAACUGAAUACAUGAUGGC
rnacentral:sRNA from 1 species